rnacentral:tRNA from 1 species
GAGGGUAUAGCUUAGUGGUGGUGUGUGUGUUUAGCACACACCAAGGUCUGAGUUCAAUCCCCAGUACCUCCC